rnacentral:lncRNA from 10 species
AUAAAGCACAUUUUAAAACAAGAGUGUGUGGCCCAACGAUUGCACCUGUUGAGUGCUCACUGGCUGCCAUAUACUGGACAGGCAUUACUGGAUUGCAGAAAAUGCACUAGGGUCCUCGCCCUCAGGACUUGAACACUACAAACACAGACACGUUAUAAACAUUCAGCCAGCUUUUUUCUGUAAAGUGUGUCUUCUGAACCAGGCACUGUGCACGAAUUUACAUUCCCACCAACACGUAUAUAUGUUUCCUUUUCUCUGCACCCUCACCAACAUCUGCUGUUUUUUGACUUUUUAAUCAUAGCCAUUUUGACUGGUGUGAGAUUGUAUCUCAUUGUGGUUUUAAUGUGCAUUUCUCUGAUAAUUAGUGGAUGUUGAGCAUUUUUUCAUAUGUUCGUUGGCCACUUGUAUGUCUUUUUUGAGAAAUAUCUGUUCAUGUCCUUUGCCCACUUUUUAAUGGGUUUUUUUUUUUUCUUGUUGAGUUGUUUGAGUUCCUUGUAGAUUCUGGAUAUUAGUCCUUUGUCAGAUGCGUAGUUUGCAAAUAUUUUCUCUCAUUCUGUAGGUUGUCUAUUUACUCUGUUGAUUGUUUCUUUUACUGUGCAGAAGCUUUUUAGUUUAAUUAAGGCCCAUUUGUCUAUUCUUGUUUUUGUUGCACUUCCUUUGGGGUUUUAGUCAUAAAUUAUUUGCCUAGGCCAAUGUUGCAAGGAACUGAAUUCUGCCAACAACCCGAAUGAGCUUGAAAAGCAGAUUUUUUUCUCAAACUUGUUGUCUUUUCCAGACAAGAACUGAGCCUGACUAUUACCAUGAUUGCAGCCUUCGCAGAACCUGAGCGAGAACCCAGUGAUGCCAUGGCUGUGCUGGGACUUCCGACUUUCAGAACUGUGGGCUAUUAAAUGGGUGUUGUUUUAAGCUGUUAGAAAUCUGGACUUUGCUGUCUCUGAAAAUCACCAUUUGCCUUUGGGAGAUGUGUGUUGGCAAGAAGAGGAGACAUAUUCAAACCCCACUGGCUAGGACAUCAGGAGCUCAGUAUGGAAUGCAAAGGCCACCCUAGACUGUCCUGCUAAUGCUGACUCUUCUGCCCAUCUCUGUUUUGAAGUUCUCCAUGGCUUUUAUUCUAGUGUAAGUUUGAUGUUAACAUAUAAUUUGACCUUUGAUUCACUCCUAUAUUGUAAGUCCGUUAAAUUAGCCCUAGUUUUUGAUAAAUCUGCUCCAUCCACAUAGCCUUGUGGUUAUGCAGUAGGAGGAGGUAGGCAGAGAGGGAAGCGUAGCUGGUUCCACAUUCACCCUUCACCUGAACGCAAGGUCGUCUCAUUGUAUCAAGAGGGACUGUAGACCCCAGGUUCCAGGAGACGGUGGUCAGGAGAGAGGUGUUUGAUUUGUCACAGUUGUGAUGGGAGAGGUGAAAAGACCAUAGGAUCUGGAGAAGUAACUCCCAGGAGAGCAACACAGGAGGGAUGAGAGCUGUCUUCUCCCUGCACUGUGCUCCAGAACAGUGAGCCCAGCAGUGGGGCGGGGAGGAUAAGUAGAGGGCAGACAUGAGUUAAGCCUGCGCCAUAGUUUAUGUGUCACUGCAACUAGAGUCUGAAAGAAAAUCAAGUUGGAAGAUCAGCGAAAAGUUGAAGAUCUAUAUAAAUGAGUCAUUGUGAUUUACCCCAACUGCCCAGUAAAGCUCUGGAAAAGGAUUUCCUUCAGCCUUCCUACAAAAUUCAUUCUGAAUUUUGUUUCUGAAUCUUCCAAACUUAGUUUUUACAAAAUUAUUUCUUUUUUGGACAUUCCUCUGAAAGGUUUGGAUGUAGAAUUUGAGCGAGUUGGGGUUACAUUUUGGCUACAAUUGCCUUCAAAACAUGCCUAGCUGAUCACAUUCACCUGGUAAACAUUUUCCUUUUAUAUAUAUCAAAGAAACAGAAAUACUUAUGAUUUAGUUUUUAGCUUCUUUAUUCAUUUGAACACUUCAAUAUUCUGUCUUCUUCAAUGAUUCCCCC